AGCAGCCGCGGUAAUUCCAGCUCCAAUAGCGUAUAUUAAAGUUGUUGCAGUUAAAAGCUCGUAGUUGAAUUUCGGGGUCAGUAAGUUGGUCGUGCCACUGGUAUGUACUGGCUUUACUGAUUCCUCCUUCUUGUAGAACCGUAAUGCCAUUAAGUUGGUGUUGCGGGAAAACAGGACUGUUACUUUGAAAAAAUUAGAGUGUUUAAAGCAAGCUAACGCUUGAAUACAUUAGCAUGGAAUAAUGAAAUAGGACGAACGAUCCUAUUUUGUUGGUUUCUAGGAUUGACGUAAUGAUUAAUAGGGAUAGUUGGGGGCAUUAGUAUUCAAUUGUCAGAGGUGAAAUUCUUGGAUUUAUUGAAGACUAACUACUGCGAAAGCAUUUUGCCAAGGAUGUUUUCAUUAAUCAAGAACGAAAGUUAGGGGAUCGAAGACGAUCAGAUACCGUCGUAGUCUUAACCAUAAACUAUGCCGACUAGGGAUCGGAUGAUGUUAAUUUUUUAAUGACUCAUUCGGCGCCUUA
rnacentral:rRNA from 1 species